rnacentral:rRNA from 1 species
CCUACGGGAGGCAGCAGUGGGGAAUAUUGCACAAUGGGGGAAACCCUGAUGCAGCGACGCCGCGUGAGUGAAGAAGUAUUUCGGUAUGUAAAGCUCUAUCAGCAGGAACGAGACAAGACGGUACCUGACUAAGAAGCCCCGGCUAACUACGUGACAGCAGCCGCGGUAAUACGUAGGGGGCAAGCGUUAUCCGGAAUCACUGGGUGGAAAGGGAGCGUAGACGGCUGUGCAAGCCUGAAGUGAAAGGCGGGGGCCCAACCCCUGGACUGCUUUGGGAACUGUACGGCUGGAGUGCAGGAGAGGUAAGUGGAAUUCCUAGUGUAGCGGUGAAAUGCGUAGAUAUUAGGAGGAACACCAGUGGCGAAGGCGGCUUACUGGACUGUAACUGACGUUGAGGCUCGAAAGCGUGGGGAGCAAACAGGAUUAGAUACCCUGGUAGUC